rnacentral:rRNA from 1 species
AUGCUCCGACGCGUCGCCGGCGCCGUGGCGGCGCCCCUCCGACGCUCCCUCUGCACGGCGGCCUCGCGCUCGCGCCCUCCCUGGGCCCUCACCUAUAGGAUGGCGCCGCUGGGGCAGGGCGCGCGCCCGUCCUUGGACCUCCACGAGCCCCCCUGCGUCUCCCAGCUCUCCGUCCCCGCCCACCUGGCCGACGGCAUGGACUUGGCCGCCGUAAGCAUCCAGGCCGCCAGCUGCGACGGCCUCCUCCUCCUCGACUUCGCCGGCACCCUCCGCGGUGGCCGCGACUACGGCGACAGCCUGCCCGCAGUGGCCGCUUUUGCCGCCGCCUACGAACCGGGCGUCAGGCGCUUCGUCUGCAACCCCCUCAGCGGCCAGCUGUUCCGCCUCCCGCUCCCCAGCAUGGAUGCCGAGAAGACGACCAUGCCCUUCGGCCUGCUCACCCAAUCCGACGGCUCCCACGGCCCGCCUGACAGGUUCGUGGUCGCCCAACUCUGCCUCCGGGAAAGGGACGGCCAAAGGGUCGUGCGCCGCUUUCUGUCCGAAACAGGGGAGUGGGACGAGCCGCCGCUGUUCGUCCCGGCCGAGGCCCCGGGUUGGCGCGCCAUGCCCCUCCACGAGGUGGUGGCGUUCGGCGACCGGCUGUGGUGGCUCGACCCUUACUUUGGCGUCUUCUCUGUCGACCCAUUCAGUGACCGGCCGGAGCAUGGCUUCGUCGCGCUGCCGCGCCCGCUGCCCAACUUUGACAUGGAGGUGCAGCCGGAACUGUACCGGCUCUUGGGUGUCAGCGAGGGGAAGCUGCGCUAUGUCGAAUUGACCAUCAAGGAGCCGUUUAUGCUCUACUCGUUCUCGCUCGACGAUGAGGGAUCCUCCUGGAAGCUAACACAUGAGACGAGAAUGAACCUGGUGUUGCCUGACAAGUCUACACCACGGUUAGACCAAAUGCCGUGGAUUUCUGCAAUUGAUCCAUUCAAUGCCAACAUAUUGUACUUCCAGCAUGGUGAAAUUAUUAGUGCUCUCGACUUGGCUGAGGGGGAAAGGAUUGGGAGGAGUGCUUUUCCAGACAACAUCAAAUCUCUGUACCACGGCUUUGUGCCCCUAAUACUCCCGGCAUGGCUCCCCAGGGCAGGAACACUUCCGAGCAAGACGACCAAUUGCACAAGUAAGACUUUGGCAGACAUGCUGGUUCGUGUUGACAAAGACCGGAGAAACUGA